UACGUAGGGGGCAAGCGUUGUCCGGAUUUAUUGGGCGUAAAGAGCAGUGUAGGCGGCUUGGUAGGUCCGCUGUGAAAACUCGAGGCUCAACCUCGAGAUGUCGGCGGAAACCACUUGGCUAGAGUCCGGAAGAGGAGAGUGGAAUUCCUGGUGUAGCGGUGAAAUGCGCAGAUAUCAGGAAGAACACCUAUGGCGAAGGCAGCUCUCUGGGACGGUACUGACGCUGAGACGCGAAAGCGUGGGGAGCGAACAGG
rnacentral:rRNA from 1 species